rnacentral:rRNA from 1 species
GUACAGGUUUCGUAGGUGACCUNUUCAAGGAUCAGAAAAAGUAUAUAGUUNUUUCCUCUCUGUAGGGACNAAAUAUACCCAUUCUGAGUACCUUGCCUGUUGCUUCCUUGGNGCAUGACAAAUGUCACUCUGGGGAUUUACAUCCCGAGGGAGCCUCCGUGGAAGGUAAUCAAUUAACCCUUGAAUCCAAUGUCAUCUGUCUGAUAAUGUUUAUAACAAAUGUUAAAACUUUCAACAACGGAUCUCUUGGUUCUCGCAUCGAUGAAGAACGCAGCGAAAUGCGAUAAGUAGUGUGAAUUGCAGAAUUCAGUGAAUCAUCGAAUCUUUGAACGCACAUUGCGCCUCCUGGUAUUCCGGGAGGCAUGCCUGUUCGAGCGUCAUUAAAUACCACUCAAGCUCUUCUGCUUGGUCAUGGAAGAAGAGUAUGCUUGCAUCCUCUCUUCUGAAAUUGAAUGGCGGACCGCCUCAUGUGCCUCGCGUAGUAAGUUCAUCUUUUCGCUUGGAGUGUGAGACAGUCUCGCCGUCAACCCCCAUACUUCUAAGGUUGACCUCGGAUCAGGUAGGGAUACCCGCUGAACUUAAGCAUAUCAAUAAGCGGAGGA